rnacentral:rRNA from 1 species
ACGCACGCUGGCGGCGUGCUUAACACAUGCAAGUCGAACGGAAAGGCCCUGCUUUUGUGGGGUGCUCGAGUGGCGAACGGGUGAGUAACACGUGAGUAACCUGCCCUUGACUUUGGGAUAACUUCAGGAAACUGGGGCUAAUACCGGAUAGGAGCUCCUGCUGCAUGGUGGGGGUUGGAAAGUUUCGGCGGUUGGGGAUGGACUCGCGGCUUAUCAGCUUGUUGGUGGGGUAGUGGCUUACCAAGGCUUUGACGGGUAGCCGGCCUGAGAGGGUGACCGGCCACAUUGGGACUGAGAUACGGCCCAGACUCCUACGGGAGGCGGCAGUGGGGAAUAUUGCACAAUGGGCGGAAGCCUGAUGCAGCAACGCCGCGUGCGGGAUGACGGCCUUCGGGUUGUAAACCGCUUUCGCCUGUGACGAAGCGUGAGUGACGGUAAUGGGUAAAGAAGCACCGGCUAACUACGUG